ACACUUACCUGGACGGGGUCGAUGGGCGAUCAUAAAGGCUCAUGGCCUAGGUAGGUGGCAUCCAUUGCACUUGAGGAGCGGUGCCCGCCUAACAUCUUCCCAAAGUGUACGUCAUAAUUUGUGCUAGUGGAGUCUGCAUUCGCGCAACCCCUAU
rfam:Beta vulgaris subsp. vulgaris Bvchr8.sca017.con0077.1, whole genome shotgun sequence.